rnacentral:rRNA from 1 species
GACAGAGGCCUCGAGCGUUAGGCGGAAUCACUGGGCUUAAAGCGUGUGUAGGCGGGCCCGUAAGUGUCUUGUGAAAUCCCCCGGCUCAACCGGGGAACGGCUGGGCAUACUGCGGGUCUUGGGCCGACUAGGGGCAGCCGGAACAAGCGGUGGAGCGGUGAAAUGCGUAGAUAUCAUUUGGAACGCCAAUGGUGAAAACAGGUAGCUGGGGCUGUGCUGACACUGAGACACGAAAGCCAGGGGAGCAAACGGG